rnacentral:tRNA from 1 species
GGAGGAUAUAGCUCAGUGGUAGAGUGCAUGCUUAGCAUGCAUGAGGUCCUGGGUUCAAUCCCCAGUACUUCCA